rnacentral:rRNA from 1 species
AAACGCUUGAAGUCAGUCGCGUUGGCCAGGGAUCAACCUUGCUUUUUUUUGCUUGGCUUAUUUCCUGGUCAAUGGGUCAGCAUCAAUUUUGACUGAUGGAAAAAGUUCAAGGGAAUGUGGCAUCCUUUGGAUGUGUUAUAACCUUUGUUGUAUGCAACGGUUGGGAUUGAGGACUGCAGCACGCCUUCAUGGCCGGGGUUCGCCCACGUACGUGCUUAGGAUGUUGGCAUAAUGGCUUUAAGCGA